rnacentral:rRNA from 1 species
UAAUUUGAGAGUUUGAUCCUGGCUCAGGACGAACGCUGGCGGCGUGCCUAAUACAUGCAAGUCGAACGAACUCUGGUAUUGAUUGGUGCUUGCAUCAUGAUUUACAUUUGAGUGAGUGGCGAACUGGUGAGUAACACGUGGGAAACCUGCCCAGAAGCGGGGGAUAACACCUGGAAACAGAUGCUAAUACCGCAUAACAACUUGGACCGCAUGGUCCGAGUUUGAAAGAUGGCUUCGGCUAUCACUUUUGGAUGGUCCCGCGGCGUAUUAGCUAGAUGGUGGGGUAACGGCUCACCAUGGCAAUGAUACGUAGCCGACCUGAGAGGGUAAUCGGCCACAUUGGGACUGAGACACGGCCCAAACUCCUACGGGAGGCAGCAGUAGGGAAUCUUCCACAAUGGACGAAAGUCUGAUGGAGCAACGCCGCGUGAGUGAAGAAGGGUUUCGGCUCGUAAAACUCUGUUGUUAAAGAAGAACAUAUCUGAGAGUAACUGUUCAGGUAUUGACGGUAUUUAACCAGAAAGCCACGGCUAACUACGUGCCAGCAGCCGCGGUAAUACGUAGGUGGCAAGCGUUGUCCGGAUUUAUUGGGCGUAAAGCGAGCGCAGGCGGUUUUUUAAGUCUGAUGUGAAAGCCUUCGGCUCAACCGAAGAAGUGCAUCGGAAACUGGGAAACUUGAGUGCAGAAGAGGACAGUGGAACUCCAUGUGUAGCGGUGAAAUGCGUAGAUAUAUGGAAGAACACCAGUGGCGAAGGCGGCUGUCUGGUCUGUAACUGACGCUGAGGCUCGAAAGUAUGGGUAGCAAACAGGAUUAGAUACCCUGGUAGUCCAUACCGUAAACGAUGAAUGCUAAGUGUUGGAGGGUUUCCGCCCUUCAGUGCUGCAGCUAACGCAUUAAGCAUUCCGCCUGGGGAGUACGGCCGCAAGGCUGAAACUCAAAGGAAUUGACGGGGGCCCGCACAAGCGGUGGAGCAUGUGGUUUAAUUCGAAGCUACGCGAAGAACCUUACCAGGUCUUGACAUACUAUGCAAAUCUAAGAGAUUAGACGUUCCCUUCGGGGACAUGGAUACAGGUGGUGCAUGGUUGUCGUCAGCUCGUGUCGUGAGAUGUUGGGUUAAGUCCCGCAACGAGCGCAACCCUUAUUAUCAGUUGCCAGCAUUAAGUUGGGCACUCUGGUGAGACUGCCGGUGACAAACCGGAGGAAGGUGGGGAUGACGUCAAAUCAUCAUGCCCCUUAUGACCUGGGCUACACACGUGCUACAAUGGAUGGUACAACGAGUUGCGAACUCGCGAGAGUAAGCUAAUCUCUUAAAGCUAUUCUCAGUUCGGAUUGUAGGCUGCAACUCGCCUACAUGAAGUCGGAAUCGCUAGUAAUCGCGGAUCAGCAUGCCGCGGUGAAUACGUUCCCGGGCCUUGUACACACCGCCCGUCACACCAUGAGAGUUUGUAACACCCAAAGUCGGUGGGGUAACCUUUUAGGAACCAGCCGCCUAAGGUGGGACAGAUGAUUAGGGUGAAGUCGUAACAAGGUAGCCGUAGGAGAACCUGCGGCUGGAUCACCUCCUUU